CGGGAAACCGGAGCUAAUACCGGAUAAUAUUUCGAACCGCAUGGUUCGAUAGUGAAAGGUGGUUUUGCUAUCACUUAUAGAUGGACCCGCGCCGUAUUAGCUAGUUGGUAAGGUAACGGCUUACCAAGGCGACGAUACGUAGCCGACCUGAGAGGGUGAUCGGCCACACUGGAACUGAGACACGGUCCAGACUCCUACGGGAGGCAGCAGCU
rnacentral:rRNA from 1 species